rnacentral:rRNA from 1 species
CAGUCGCCACGGGAAUACGUAGGGUGCAAGCGUUAAUCGGAAUUACUGGGCGUAAAGCGUGCGCAGGCGGUUAUAUAAGACAGAUGUGAAAUCCCCGGGCUCAACCUGGGAACUGCAUUUGUGACUGUAUAGCUAGAGUACGGCAGAGGGGGAUGGAAUUCCGCGUGUAGCAGUGAAAUGCGUAGAUAUGCGGAGGAACACCGAUGGCGAAGGCAAUCCCCUGGGCCUGUACUGACGCUCAUGCACGAAAGCGUGGGGAGCAAACAGGAUUAGAUACCCGUGUAGUCCCUGUCUCUUAUAA